AAGUGCGUAAUAUGUAUACGUUAUUAAACAAAAAGAUUUGUGUUUUUUUCUCAUCGGUUAUUAUUAUAACAAUAUCAAUCGGAUUAUAACAAAAAAUGAAAUUUAUUUUAAAUUCAAUUUGUUGUCAUCGUUUACCGCUACCGCGACAUAUAUAUAUGUAUAUGUGUGUGUUUACAAUCAAAGCAUACGUAGAUAAUAUUAUUGUAAAGAUUUGAUGAAAUCCUGUUAAUAAUAAUGUAAUUAUACAUAAAUACUAUUUUGUAAGAAAUAGAAUACUAACUUUGAAACACAAGUCUCUGUGUCUAUCACUUGUAAUGUUAUAUAGACUGCUACCAACGUGGUGUGAAAUCAUCCACCAAACACAAGAUCCGCCAACAUAGUUUUUGUAAAGUUCCUCUGACCCGUCCAUGAGGGCUAUUUUAAUAUUUGCGAGAUUUGUACAAAUAUAAUCCGAAGUUAGAUAUUGUAAAUGUUUAUUUUUUAUAGUCAAAAAGUAAGACAACUAAAAUCGUUUAAAUGGAAACACGGAUAUUUCAAAAACUCAUGAUAGUGAUUACAAAACCCAGUACUUAUAAAUAUUAAAAAAAAAAUACAGUGGGACGUUGGACGAAUUUGGAAAAGUUUAAAUUAUAUCUUACAAAAAUUAAAACCACUAUCAUAAAAAACACUGAUGCAAAUCUGGAUAUAGUAUUUAAUUAUUAGAUUAAUUAAAACAAUUAUAAUUGUUGGAUUAUUCCAAAAGAAACUUGUUUCUUUAAAUAGAAUUACCCUACACUUAAAUCUUUUUAGAUUUAGGUUUAUGAAUAAAAAUAUUUAUUAUAGUAA